UAAUGGAAGAGAAUGACCGUUUCCAGAAGCAAGUUUCUCAUCUGGUUUAUGAGAAUGGAUACAUGAAGCAACAGAUUCACACUGUGAGUGUAAGAGACUAUUCCUUCCUGUUCAAAUAUUUUUUGGUUUCUUUUCUUGUUUAUAGAUGUUUUUGUUAUAUGCAUGAGAAAAUGUUAAGAACUUUAUUGCAUGUUAUCAUUGAUGUGUUUCUUACCUCGAGUAUCUUUCGUAGCUGGAAGGAUUCUAUAAUUGUUCUCCAAACUGCUAAAUCACUUUUCCCUUGGUCCGAGGAUCUAAAGAUUGUCGGAAGAUGCAUAGAUUCCAUAGCUUCGAAGACCUCUGUUGAUCCAGUGAACAUCAGAUGCCUUGAUGCAUAUCCAAAUUUGAUUAUUCCCUAUACCUUGUUCUAGUUGAUUUUUCCCUACCGUUUAAUUUUUUAUAAAAUUGGAGAAUGAUUCUGAGGGUUAAUCGUACAUCGUUUUUCUAUGAUUAGCUGCAUAUUGAACAUUUUAUUGUUUAGCAGGAUACUUUUAGGGGAAGAGUUUGUGAGUGUCCUAUUGUGGAAGGUGUUCAAUAUAAGGGUGAUGGUUAUACAACAUGUGAAGCUUUUGGACCUGCACGAUGCUCUAUGAAUAAUGGAGGCUGUUGGUCAGAAACUGGAAAUAAAAUCACUUUCUCAGCUUGUUCAGUUAGUAUUGACGUCUUCUUUGAAGAUCUUGAUCUAUUUUAGAAGAUCUUAUAGCAUUUGUUAGCAUUCAUUAUUGGAUAAAACUUCUAAAAGGAAUAUAUAUUGCAAUGUGUGUUGUUUGAUUAUAAAUAACUUCUGCUUCAAACUUGUGAGCUUGCCGUAAGUGGUCUGUUGCCGAGCCUAUUGGCAGUAUAUAGGAUGCACUUUCAAAGGAUCCCAAUUCACAUUUCUUUCUAGCUUCCUGCACUACCAUUGACACAAACAAACACGAAGUAUACUGCGAGGCAGUUACCAACGGUGGAUUGUCUAGAGAGCCUUACCAAUUUAAAGUUGCAUAUGACGAGCUUGUAAUUGCAUCUGGAGUUGAGCCUUCAACUUUUGGUAUCAAGGGAGUUAAGGAACAUGCCUUUUGUCUUCGUGAAGUGAAUCAUGCUCAAGAAAUAAGGAAGAGACUUCUUAACCUGAUGCUUUCUGAAAAUCCAGGCAUAUCUGAAGAAGAAAAGAAACGUCUUCUGCACUGUGUGGUUAUUGGAGGUGGUCUUAUAGGGGUGGAAUUUAGUGGUGAAUUGAGUGAUUUCAUCACGAAAGUCUUUGUCACUCAAGUUUUAAACUACGUCUUCUGCAUAUCUAAAGUCAUUGUCACUCAAGUUUUUAUUAUUUAGUUUUAGUUCACGUUUAUUAGAUAUAUAAUGUACUUAGUCAAUCAUAUACCGAUGCUAUUGUCAUUGAUGUGUAGACAAUAAAAUAAUUUGUAUUCAUAAAA